AUCCAGCCAUACCGCGUGUGUGAAGAAGGCCUUCGGGUUGUAAAGCACUUUAAGCAGGGAGAAAAAGCAAUAAGUUAAUACCUUAUUGCCGUGAUGUUACCUGCAGAAUAAGCACCGGCUAAUUCCGUGCCAGCAGCCGCGGUAAUACGGAAGGUGCAAGCGUUAAUCGGAAUUACUGGGCGUAAAGCGCGCGUAGGUGGUUUGUUAAGUUGGAUGUGAAAGCCCUGGGCUCAACCUAGGAACUGCAUCCAAAACUAACUCACUAGAGUACGAUAGAGGGAGGUAGAAUUCAUAGUGUAGCGGUGGAAUGCGUAGAUAUUAUGAAGAAUACCAGUGGCGAAGGCGGCCUCCUGGAUCUGUACUGACACUAAGGUGCGAAAGCGUGGGUAGCGAACAGGAUUAGAUACCCUGGUAGUCCACGCCGUAAACGAUGACAACUAGCUGUUGGGAGACAAUGUCUUUCAGUGGCGCAGCUAACGUUUUAAGUUGUCCGCCUGGGGAGUACGGCCGCAAGGCUAAAACUCAAAUGAAUUGACGGGGACCCGCACAAGCGGUGGAGCAUGUGGUUUAAUUCGAUGCAACGCGAAAAACCUUACCUACUCUUGACAUACUUGGAAGCUCUUGUAAUGAGAGUGUGCCUUUUGGAGCCAAGAUACAGGUGCUGCAUGGCUGUCGUCAGCUCGUGUCGUGAGAUGUUCCGUUAAGUCGGAUAACGAGCGCAACCCUUACCCUUAUUUGCCAGCGAUUCGGUCGGGAACUAUAAGGGGACUGCCGGUGAUAAACCGGAGGAAGGUGAGGACGACGUCAAGUCAUCAUGGCCCUUACGAGUAGGGCUACACACGUGCUACAAUGGGGAAUACAGACGGACGCUAAGCCGCGAGGUGGUGCUAAUCCUAUAAAGUUCUUCGUAGUCCGGAUUGGAGUCUGCAACUCGACUCCAUGAAGUCGGAAUCGCUAGUAAUCGCGAAUCAGCAUGUCGCGGUGAAUACGUUCUCGGGUCUUGUACACACCGCCCGUCACACCAUGGAAGUGGAUUGCACCAGAAGUAGAUAGUCUAACCUUCGGGAGGGCGUUUACCACGGUGUGCUUCAUGACUGGGGUGAAGUCGUAACAAGGUAGCCGUA
rnacentral:rRNA from 1 species